UUACGUACUUAAUUUAAUUAAAAAUAAUUUAGUUUUAGCGAUGUUUUCUAAAACCAUAAUUUAUUCAAGUAAAUUAAUUAGAUUCCGACUUAGAAUCUGAAGAGGGGACCAAAAUAAGUCUUUGCCCCUUCAAGGCAAUGGAGGGCUUCCUCCCUAUCUUAGAGCGUGGGUCCCUUCUCUUCUUUAUCUCCAGGUAAGUUGUUGAUAGGUCAAUUUUGAUUGUGCAACCGGCUGCUGUGUAUGGUUGAGAGAUUCCUCUUACAGGUAUCUUUGGUGUUUAGUUUGUUUUAUGUUCAAUAUUUCUAAUCUUUGGACCCUAUUUUCGACUUGUGGAGAAAGUGACUCUAUUAUCCAUUUUGGGGCUUGUGUGGAUUUCCAUUGCUCUGGUGGCUAUGGAGUAUCUCUAGCGGUUUUGAAGCUCCUUCGGUGGUGCCCAAUUGGAGAUGAUGGGAGAACGGUCGCCCUCCCCUCUUGCUGAAGCUCCUCCGAUUGGAUAGAGAACAUACCUAGUUAGGAACGUUUAUUUGUAGUCCUGGGCUUGUGCUAAUGCUCGAGGUUUUUUCUAUUGGACCAUUCUCUAUUUGAACCAUGGGCUUGUAUCUUGCUACAUUAUAUUUAUAUUUACAGUAAUUUUUCCUUAAAAA
rnacentral:lncRNA from 1 species